rnacentral:tRNA from 1 species
GUUGGGAUGGCCUGAGUUGGUCUAAGGUGGCACAUUAAGGGUGUGUUCCAAAAGGGAGUGGGUUCAAAUCCCACUCUCAACA